rnacentral:rRNA from 1 species
AGAGUACGUGAAACCGUUCAGGGGUAAACCUGAGAAACCCGAAAGGUCGAAAGGGGAGAUUCAGCGUGUCUCGAUUGCGGCGCUGGAUGGUCGUGCGACGGAAGACGUACGCGUCAUCCGCACCUUCCGUCCUCCGAACCGUAGUCGAACGCGUGCACUUCUCCCCCUGUAGGACGUCGCGAUCCGUUGGGUGUCGGCCUAAGGCCCGCAAUGGAGCCCGUUCGGACGGUCCGCCGUUCCGGACGAACUUGCGGUGUUUCCCGGUCGGCUCGCUCGACGGUAUACAGAUGGCGCGGGGCCGCUACACAUUAGUUAGCGUCCGACCGGCGGCAAGCGCGCUCGUCGCGACGGUGAUCGGACCUGGUGCCGGUCCUGUCCCCGAGUGGCUGUUCGCUGCCGUGUUCUCGGACAGACCUCGUCGAAACGCCGAUCUGCGACGCUAUAGCUUUGGGUACUUUCAGGACCCGUCUUG